GCACCCGUAGCUCAGUUAGUAGAGCAGUGGAACGGUACUCCACGGUCCCGGGUUCAAGUCCCGGCGGUCGCU